rnacentral:rRNA from 1 species
UACGUAGGGGGCGAGCGUUGUCCGGAUUUAUUGGGCGUAAAGAGCUCGUAGGCGGCUGUUCGAGUCGGGUGUGAAAUCCUGAGGCUUAACCUUGGGUCUGCAUUCGAUACUGGGCGGCUUGAGUCUGGUAGGGGGGAUCUGGAAUUCCUGGUGUAGCGGUGGAAUGCGCAGAUAUCAGGAGGAACACCGGUGGGCGAAAGGCGGGGAUCCUGGG